GGGGGGGGGGGGGGAGGGUCCCAGGUUCGAAUAAUGAUGAAGACUGGGAUUUUUAAUUUUGGGAUCCUUAGAGCUUCUCCGAGUCUAUCCAGCUCUGAGUACCAGACAUUAGAGGAACUUUACUUUUUUUUUUUUAGCUUGCAGAUAGACUCAAUGAGCCAGUGCACAUAGACAAUUAUUAAACUAUCAUAUAUCACAUAUACUUUUUUUGGUUUAAUCUCACAAAAUCCCUUUCAUUUUCUUCGGUUCCUGUGUACAUUUGUUUUCAUAUUUCAGUGAUAUUUUGAUAAACUUUACAAAUUCUUUAUUGGUGACUGUUUCUCCAUGAAGAAGAUUCUGACAGCGCCCCACCCUGCACAGUAUGAACUUCCACUCUUUUUAUUACAAUGCACCCUUUUGAUGUAUAGGUUGUGAUCCUCAGAAUACCGCUCUCCAACAUAAGAAGUUUCAAAUAAUAAUUCACUAAUUGAACCUUUUGCUCGGAUUCAUAUAGUACAUAGGUUAUAUCAUUUGCAUUUUUUUUUUGCGUGUUUCCUAUGUUAUUUAGUUGGCAGAUGUAUUUAAAUGAAGAAAAUGCAAUCAUAGAAUACCAUAAUUUUUUUUUUGUUGUUGUUUUGAUUGAAUUUUAAAAUGCAUUUUUACCGAGUAACUAAUCCAAUAUUUAGAACUAUAAAGCCAUGACUUUCUUAGUCCCGUGGAAAUAACCAAUCAACCUCCUAGGUCCAGGGGUUAUAUCUGGCUCUGAUGAAAUGUAAUAAAUAAGCACGUUUUUUUUUUUGUUUUUGUGGUCACAUUCACUCCUCGUAUUCUUGAGUUCCUUGUAGAGACUUCACCUAGCAUGCUAUACUAAUACAACAAUCUCAUUUCAUAGUUGUAAAUCUUCAUUGUGCAUUGACUUUGACUGGCAGUAGAAACGUCAUGACUUGGAUAUUUAAAGAUAUCUAGCAGCUUGUGCGCGACUAGAACGGAAGGACAGAAAAUAGAAUUUUCAAAGGCACCAAAAAUGCAGCAAUUAUAAAAUAUAAAAUAGAAAUAUACCGGUAUCGUGUUUGUAAGUUUCUGUUGGACCAAAAUUUCGUACCGGUACUAAUAGUAUUUUUCAAUGUUAAAGAGUUCAGCUACCCAUUUUGUAAAAUUCUUAAAUGCUUGCCGAUGUAACACUGAAUCCUUUUUUUUUUUAAUAUACAAAAUCAUAUGCAGAAGUGACCAAUAAAAUGUCAUACCAGUUUGACAAAGACUCGGCAAUGUUUAAUUUCUAGAAGGAUUUUUUCUAAAGAAUUAAGGGAGGGGCAAGGGAUAAAGAAGCAACCCACACACGCAUAUAUAUAUAUAUAUAUAUAAACAGCACUGAGUCUGUGUGUUGUC